AAUUCUUAUGUCCUCUAAGUAAAACAAUUGUUUUGAGAAAGAAAACUCAAAAUAUAAGAAAUUGCGGUAAGUACUGAUAAUACUUA
rnacentral:ncRNA from 1 species